CCUACGGGAGGCAGCAGUGAGGAAUUUUGCGCAAUGGACGAAAGUCUGACGCAGCGACGCCGCGUGUGGGAUGAAGGGGCUACGCCCUGUAAACCACUGUUAGAUGUGAAAAAAAGAUGGCUUUGCCGUCCGGGAUUGUAACAUCAAAGAAAGGACCGGCUAACUACGUGCCAGCAGCCGCGGUAAUACGUAGGGUCCGAGCGUUGUCCGGAAUUACUGGGUAUAAAGGGUGCGUAGGCGGGCUUUUACGUCAAGGGUUAAAGACUUCAGCUCAACUGAGGGAGUGCCUUUGAAACGGAAAGUCUUGAAUGUAAGAGAGGUAGGUAGAAUUCCUGGUGUAGCGGUGAAAUGCGUAGAUAUCAGGAGGAAUACCAGUGGCGAAGGCGGCCUACUGGCUUAUUAUUGACGCUGAGGCACGAAAGCGUGGGUAGCGAACAGGAUUAGAUACCCUGGUAGUCCACGCCCUAAACGAUGUAUGCUUGGUGUUAGAGUUUACUCUAGUGCCGUAGGAAAUCCGUUAAGCAUACCACCUGGGAAGUACGAUCGCAAGAUUGAAACUCAAAUGAAUUGACGG
rnacentral:rRNA from 1 species